rnacentral:rRNA from 1 species
GAUGAACGCUGGCGGCGUGCCUAAUACAUGCAAGUCGAGCGAACGGACGAGAAGCUUGCUUCUCUGAUGUUAGCGGCGGACGGGUGAGUAACACGUGGAUAACCUACCUAUAAGACUGGGAUAACUUCGGGAAACCGGAGCUAAUACCGGAUAAUAUUUUGAACCGCAUGGUUCAAAAGUGAAAGACGGUCUUGCUGUCACUUAUAGAUGGAUCCGCGCUGCAUUAGCUAGUUGGUAAGGUAACGGCUUACCAAGGCAACGAUGCAUAGCCGACCUGAGAGGGUGAUCGGCCACACUGGAACUGAGACACGGUCCAGACUCCUACGGGAGGCAGCAGUAGGGAAUCUUCCGCAAUGGGCGAAAGCCUGACGGAGCAACGCCGCGUGAGUGAUGAAGGUCUUCGAAUCGUAAAACUCUGUUAUUAGGGAAGAACAUAUGUGUAAGUAACUGUGCACAUCUUGACGGUACCUAAUCAGAAAGCCACGGCUAACUACGU